AUUGAACGCUGGCGGCAGGCCUAACACAUGCAAGUCGAGCGGAUGAAGGGAGCUUGCUCCUGGAUUCAGCGGCGGACGGGUGAGUAAUGCCUAGGAAUCUGCCUGGUAGUGGGGGAUAACGUCCGGAAACGGGCGCUAAUACCGCAUACGUCCUGAGGGAGAAAGUGGGGGAUCUUCGGACCUCACGCUAUCAGAUGAGCCUAGGUCGGAUUAGCUAGUUGGUGGGGUAAAGGCCUACCAAGGCGACGAUCAGUAACUGGUCUGAGAGGAUGAUCAGUCACACUGGAACUGAGACACGGUCCAGACGCCUACGGGAGGCAGCAGUGGGGAAUAUUGGACAAUGGGGGAAAGACUGAUCCAGCCACGCCGCGUGGGUGAAGAAGGUCUUCGGAUUGUAAAGCACUUUAAGUUGGGAGGAAGGGCAGUAAGUUAAUACCUGGCUGUUUUGACGUUACCAACAGAAUAGGCACCGGCUAACUUCGU
rnacentral:rRNA from 1 species